AUACGUAGGGGGCGAGCGUUGUCCGGAAUGAUUGGGCGUAAAGGGCGCGUAGGCGGCCCGGUAAGUCUGGAGUGAAAGUCCUGUUUUUAAGAUGGGAAUUGCUUUGGAUACUGUCGGGCUUGAGUGCAGGAGAGGUAAGUGGAAUUCCCAGUGUAGCGGUGAAAUGCGUAGAGAUUGGGAGGAACACCAGUGGCGAAGGCGACUUACUGGACUGUAACUGACGCUGAGGCGCGAAAGUGUGGGGAGCAAACAGGAUUAGAUACCCUGGUAGUCCACACUGUAAACGAUGAAUGCUAGGUGUAGGGGGUAUCGACCCCUUCUGUGCCGCAGUCAACACAAUAAGCAUUCCGCCUGGGGAGUACGAUCGCAAGAUUGAAACUCAAAUGAAUUGGCGGGG
rnacentral:rRNA from 1 species